rnacentral:lncRNA from 1 species
AGAGAAACUCUCAGGGAGGACAUGGAACAACAGACAAACCCAAGCUCCCACAGGAUUCCGUAAUAUUCUAUCUGAUGGGCAAGACAAAUGAUUGGCCACAUUGGAGCCUCAGCGUUCCAAGAGCCACAUAGCUCUAGUGGACCUAUGACUUCAGUGCUCAGACCAAUACCCAAGACAAACACAAGAAAGUUGGACACAAGCACAACAGUGACUGCUUCAACUUUACAUUGGAGAAGUAACAUUCCUUCAAAGCUGGCUGCUAUGAAAGGCACGAGAAACUCAAAGAAAGCAGUGAACAUCAUAAAUUCUACCAGUUCUACUCCUGAUGUAACAUUUGGGUCAGUUUUACUUAAAACCACAUUGUCCACAAAGAUCCCUGAAACAACAGGGAAGAGCACUGGUUAUCCUUCAAUGACUACAUCUAAUUUUACCAGGACUGAGACACAUAAUGGAACUGCAUUAAAUAGUACUCUUCUAUCAGACACAUCUACCACUGUAACUGUGGCAGAAACUAACAUAACUGAGAUUAUUUCAACCACAGAACAUACUCCUAAUUUUACCGAAGUGCCCUUUACUAAUUCUGUUCUUGUAUCCAGAACAGAAUCUACAAAUAACAGCAUUUCCUAUCCAAUCACUAACCAGGUAAUCAAAGCAGAAGAAAUCUCCACUGGAAUGCCCACUGGGCCCCCAAACUCCAUAAUCAGCAAAGAAAUUACCACUAGUCAGAUAGAACAUUUUGUGGUAACCCCAAACAUUAUUGCAUCUCAAGGUAUACCAGCAACUACCUCAGGGGCAGGAAUGCACUCCAGUGUCUCUCAUAAUUAUUCAUUGUUAGAGACAUCCACUCUUCUCAAAAGUGACAAAGUCCCCUCCAGAACAAAUUCAUCACCACUGGAAGGAAUCAGCUCUGAAAGUUCCUGGAAAACUACAGUAAGAACAAGUUCAUCAUCACCUGUUAAGUUAUCAUCACAAAGACAUCUACCUAUUACCCAUCACACUACCAAACAAAGUUGGACCACAGCUCAGAUACAAUCUAGCACACUUGAAGAAGUGGAUUUAAUCACAGAGUAUAGUCUCAACCAUACUGAAGUGCCCAUGAAUCUUUCUCUUCUUGAACCUUCAACAAAAGACAUGUCUACUGGGAACAUAUCUUUUACAACACUACAUGAAUCAAUAUCAGAAGAUACUUCUUUUGGAAUCACCAUUGGGACUCCUAGUUCCAGCAUCACUUCGAAAUUACAACAGUUGUCAAAUAGCCACAAUGGACAUUCUGUGGUGACAUCAAGCAUGGUGACUUCUAAAAGCCCAUCAACCUCUGCCUCAAUCAAUGUCACUAACUCCAGUAGGGUCCAAACAUUUCCACAUCCAGAAGCCAUGGAUCCUCCCAAAAAUAUUACUUCAGGACCACAGACACAUAAUCUUUGGGAAGAAUCUGUGUUUGAAGAUUCCACAAUGCCACAUGAGUCACAUUCACCUUCUGCUAUUUCUUCCAUAAGAGACACACACAGUACAUCAUUUACUGGUUCAGUGGCCUAUGUCAUCACAGUUUCUAAGGACACAAUCCCAACGGAUUUGUCCACAAGAUCAGAACCUGUGAUUUCCUCAAUCCAAAGCUUGAAUGGCAGUCCUCAGAAAAGUUUUAACAUUGCACAAGUGUCCAAAAUCUCACAGAUGACCUCUGUUUCCUCAGUCACAAAAGGAAACAAGAAAAAUGGAAGCUCAACACCCAAACUCAAACACACCAUUAUCCCUACACCAAUCUCAUCUGAACAUGAAUAUUUCACAACAAUUCUUGCCAGAUCAGAAGACACCACACUUUCAUCUCCACAGUCAAUUUCCUUUACAACAGCAGAGAUUGGAAAACCGACAGAUUCCUCCUUGAUGAAAGCAUGGAAAAGUUCCAGUAAAUAUGAAGACAUACAUUCAACAAAAGAACACAGAAUUAGCCAGACUAAUGUACCCACAACUCUUUCUCUUGUCACAUCUGUGGCAAAAGAUAUAUCUGCUGGCAGUACAUUCCUUUCCAAGUUACACCAUUCAAUAUCAGAGGACACUUCCACUGGAAUCUCCACCAAGUACUCAAGAUCUACAACCACCACAGAAUCAGAACAGACUGCAACCAGCCACAGAGAACAUACUGUGGUGACAUCAAACAUCUCCUCCCUUGAUUUCCUGGCUGCACUAGUAACUUCUAUUCAUGAAACAAACUCAAAUGGACAAGACACAAGUGCAACUUCUGGGAGCAACUCAAUUCAAAGCCUGGAUACUAUAGGGCUUUCAACUCCAGGUUCUUCAUAUAACAUGAAAACCUUUCAGACAAGUCACAUUUCCCCAAAAAAUCCGGCAACAAGAGUAGAAACUGAUAGUCCUGCAAUGCAUCCCCAAGGCACUGUCCUAGUUAAUUCAGUUCCAUCAAGAAUAACAGAAAUUAUGAUCUCACAAAGCAAUUGGGACACAAUUUCCCCAUCAAUGCCCUUAUCUAGUCCUGUACAUGCAGAAACUCAGAAAGCUUUCCCCAUAACUUCAAUAGAACAGGAAACCACCAGGUCUGAAGAUACUGAUUUAAUGAAAAAACAUAGUUCUGGUCUUCUUACAGUGUCCACUAGCACAUACCCUGGAAUUUCAAGAACAGAAGCUAACUCAACUGAUACAACAUCCACUUCAAAUUCUGUAUCCUUUGCAAAGACAACAGACACCUCAGUGGGAAAUGCCUCCAGUAGCUCUACACUUUUCUUUCCAAGGACUGACAUCAGUCAAGUAGUUAAUGUUGAGGAAUCAUCCAACAUCACCACUCUUUUGAACACAUCAGAUCCUAUAACUUAUUCUGGGGCUCUCUCUACUGUAACUCAGACAUUUUUACAUUCAGACUCAAUCUCUCAUCCCAGCAGUUCUGAGUUACUCUCAUGGACAGACUCUCCACUCCAUGAAGCAACUUCCUCUGUGAAUUCUAUAGAAACUAUACAUACAUCAUCUUUUCCUGUUACUUCUCCAUCAGAAGGACAAGGGCUCUUCUUUCCCUCUUCUGAGGAAACAACUACAGAGGAGUUGGACACAAACUUAGCUUUCUUUAAAACUUCAUUUCCAAGCUGGAGCAAUAGUGAACUAGCAAUUUCAAAGGACACCAGAACCUCACAAAAAUCUUAUAAUUCCACCAAAACUGAAGUGAGCCCUGUAAACAUAACUACAUCUGAACCUCCGGCCCAAUACACUGUAUCACCUGAGACUCUUUCGGCAGAUAGUACUGCCUCUUCCUUGUUGAUAAUACCAACCAAGAUUUCUGCUUCUGCUUCUCCUCUAUUACCACAGAGAUCAAACUCCACUUCUUUUCCUAAGACUUCAUUCCCCACUUCUGAAUUGUUUAAGACAACAGAUAUAUUGGAUAGAAGCUUGGAAACUGGAAUAAGUUUACCUCCAAACUUGAGAAGCACAUCACUUGAAAUACUGGGUUUAUCUGAAGUUGUUACUGAUACAGAAAAACAUCAUUCUUCCUCAAGUUUCACAGUAACCAAUGUGAAUACUAUUACUGUGGGUCAUGAACUAAGUUCCUCUGUAUCAACACUCUCUGAGUCAUCUAGAGACGCUGAUACAUCAGGAACUCCUCCCUCUGUAUGGGUGACUACUAUACUCACAUCAUUGCCUAACCAUUUAGAAACAACAAGAUCUAAUACUGAUUCAUUUUCCCAUUUGACUUCUGGAUUGAGGGACACUAGCAUAUCCCUACAAACAAACAAACCUUCACCUCUUGAAUCCACUCUCCACUUGCCAAGUUCUGAGACUGAUGUUGCUACUGCUGUGAAUAUACCAACCCCAUAUCAGAGUCCAUCUCCAAAGUUCACUGACAUUCCAAUAGCAACAGCUACCAUUUUAAAUCCUUCCUCAUCUAUUGUAGAGUCUACUGGGGCAACAUCCUUCCCGGAAUAUGAUUUUACUAUGCUUUCACGAGAAAAUAUCCAUGUUCCAAGAACUGAUAUACUGCCUUCAGCUGAAACCACUUUGAUUGACACAACAGCAACACUUUCUCCCAGAGGGAUGACCUUCUUUGCCACAACCAGUAACCCAACAGGCAUUUCAGCUGUGACUUCUGAGAGUUCCCAUUCUAUGAUACAGUCAAGCCAUUUGUUUGCUACCAUUGUAAAAAAGCCACCUUCUUCAAUUUCAACACCAUUGCCCUAUCCUAUUUCCACUACUACUGACACUGCAGCCAGCUCAUCCCUCCAGAGGAUUACUACUCCUUCAGAAAUGGAAGAUGGCAUGCAAUACCACACAGACAUAUCUAAUGGAGCUGUCCAUGGAGACACUGCAGGCCUGGGCAAGGGUUCUCUGGCUUCUACAUCAUCUGCUAACCAUAAAGAUGUAACAGAAAUAAUGAGACCACUGUUCACAAGCUCUGGGAGAAGAAUCCAUACAAGAAACCCAACCCAAGGUCAAUCAGUGACCACCUCAUGGAUCACCCAUCCUGGAACAGAAGCCACUUCAAGGGUGUUAACUACAACAAUAUCACCUAAUAAUCAAGAGGUGGAAACCUCAAAAUCUGCAAAUCCUUCUAAACUACAGACGACAACUUCAUUGAUAACAGAUAGCAAGGAACAGCCCAGUUUCACCAUGUCUACUCUGGCUGUCUCUCUGGGUGUAAUAGAAGGAACCCCAUCACCAGUUAUUAACAGGGGCACAGAAAGGAAUUCAAGGACUGCAACUCUAGACUUUUUCCUAGACCUACCAGAGACCACAACCUCUUGGACCACUAACCCUGAAAAAGAAGCCAUUUCAGGCAUUCUAACUACAAAGUAUGCACCUAGUGUUACAGACAGGAUGACCACAAUAAACCUGAACCAUACUCCUCCUGAACCACAGAACAUAACAUCAUUAGCUACUCAUUAUGUAAGACACAGUUUAAUCACAUCUACCAAAGUUGUCCAUCCAGAUAUAGAAGAAGUGAAACCAUCACAGGUCACUAGCUCAGUCACAGAAAGUCAUGUAAUGACUUCAAAUAUGGCUUUUUCACCAGGAAAACAUGAAACUAUAAACCCAUUCGUCACACAUCCUAGAAGAAAAGUAACUUCAGGGAUUCUAACUGCAGCCAUCUCACCUAGUGUUACCAACAUGAUGACCUUCACACCUGUGAAACACUCUCCUUCUGAACCACAACCCAUAGAAUCAUUGGACACAAAUGCUGAGGGACAUCCCAGUGCAUCCAUGUCUACACAGGCUCUCUCUCCAGGUAUGAGAGAAAUGAUGAUACCACAGGCCCCUAAUUAUGGAAGAGAAACAUAUAUCACCACUUCAACUCUUCCUGUUUCUGUAGGUCAAAUAGAGUCCACAGCCUCAUUGGUGACUCAUGCAGAAAAAGAAGCAACUUUGGGGGUUUUACCUACUACCGUUUCAACUAUUAGUCCAAAUAUGAUGGCUUCAACAGAACUUAUGUCUUCUGGACCACACACCACAGCUUCAUUGGUCACCCAUAAUGGAGAACAACAUAGUUCAGAUAUGUCUACACUGCCUGCCUCUUCAGGUAUAACAAAAAUAAAACAAUCACUGGACACUACCACAGGCAAAGAAAGCCAGUCGGUCAUUACAACUCUAGCUGUUUCCCUAGGCAUACCAAAGACUAAAUCUAUAAACACAACAUCAAAUGUUCCAGACAUGAUGAUCUC